rnacentral:rRNA from 1 species
CCAAUAGCGUAUAUUAAAGUUGUUGCAGUUAAAAAGCUCGUAGUUGAACUUCGGGGUUUACCCAUUGGUCAGGUUUAAUUAUCUGUACUGGUGAGAUAAAUCUCUACCUUCUGAGGAACUUCCAUGCCAUUUAUUUGGUGUGGGAGGAAAUCAGGACUGUUACUUUGAAAAAAUUAGAGUGUUUAAAGCAGGCUAACGUCUGAAUACAUUAGCAUGGAAUAAUGAGAUAGGACGGACUGAUUCUAUUUCGUUGGUUUCUAGGAUCACCGUAAUGAUUAAUAGGGAUAGUUGGGGGCAUUAGUAUUCAAUUGUCAGAGGUGAAAUUCUUGGAUUUAUUGAAGACUAACUACUGCGAAAGCAUUUGCCAAGGAUGUUUUCAUUAAUCAAGAACGAAAGUUAGGGGAUCGAAGACGAUCAGAUACCGUCGUAGUCUUAACCAUAAACUAUGCCGACUAGGGAUCGGACGAAGUUAAUUUUAUAAUGACGCGUUCGGCACCUUACG